rnacentral:rRNA from 1 species
UACGUAGGGCGCAAGCGUUGUCCGGAAUUAUUGGGCGUAAAGAGCUCGUAGGCGGCUUGUCACGUCGGAUGUGAAAGCCCGGGGCUCAACCCCGAGCCUGCAGUCGAUACGGGCAAGCUGGAGUCCGGCAGGGGAGACUGGAAUUCCUGGUGUAGCGGUGAAAUGCGCAGAUAUCAGGAGGAACACCGGUGGCGAAGGCGGGUCUCUGGGCCGGAACUGACGCUAAGGAGCGAAAGCGUGGGGAGCGAACAGG